AGUAGAUAAAUCACAAAAUACUGNUCAGGAUAGACAUGACUCCAGUGGCAAAGCGGCAAUUGAAUCAUCCGAGUGGCUGUGUCAAUCAGCAAGAAAAAAGGAAACAACGUGCAAAUAAUGUCAGAAAAUUUCUCUCUCUCUGUCUCUCUCCAACUACACUUUUAUUAGGCCCAAAAACUAAUCAAGGCAGAGCCUAAACUGAAAAUCAAAUACUUAGACUCACAAUACAAAGCCAAAAUACCAAGGCACGACCCAAUUUGAUAAUCAAAUACCCACAAUUUGUCCAGCCCUACUCAAUAGUUACGAGACGAGAGAUGCGGUGUUGACGGUUGCGAAGAUGACUGCGUCGACUGUAAGGAUGAUUGACGGCGAUAGUCAUGGCGAGUGCUUGGAGAUGGAUUGUGAUUACUUGAGUGUAGCAUGUGGUGUUGAUUGGAUGAAGAUGUGGGGUGCGUUGGGCGGAUUAUUGAUGCUGUGUAGAGAAGAUGAAGCUUGGGUGAUUGGAUCAAGUUUGGAAGAGGCGAAUGGAGCGAGAUGUGAGCAGCGGCUGUCAAUUUGUGUGGUUUGGGAAGUAUGCGUACUGAUGUACUGUAUGUCGGUUGGAGAGGUGGAGGCAGUGGUGAUUGGUUGUUUUGUUGAUAGUAGGUUGUUAUUGUGACAAAAAAGGUCGAUUAUAUAAAAGUUGCAGGUUACGCUAUAGCCUGUGUUGGAGUUGGAGGUUUGGCUUGUGGGGUGGUCGCGUAUACUGGAAUUAUUUGGUGGGGGUUGUAGUUGGUGGUGGAAGUUCCAGGUGUUGAGUGAAUUUCGGGUGGUUGGCAGUUGUGGAAGGACGUGGUGGUUUNGAGCUCUUUCUCAUAUUUCUGGACAGACUUAUAAAGGACAUGUUCUUUUAAAUAUCAAAUACAGCUGGAAGUAUUUAACGUCGUAUAUUGAAAAUGAUGCAUGCAUACAGCUUGUAUGAGCCCCAAUAUAUUUAAAAAAAAAAAAUACGUUCUACAGUAUUUUGACAUCAUAUCAAUCACACAUUAUUUAAUAAAAUAAUAUUACACGUAAAUUUAAAAUUUUUUCUCAUUUUUUAAUCACACAUUUUCCAAUACACUAUUCAAAAAUUCAUUUGUUCCCUCCAAAAUGGGGCUGGUGUAAUUAUCUUUUGCAUGGUCCCGUGCACAUGAUUGUACAACUUUUAUUUACAAAAAUUAAUGUGCCCAAUCUUGUUAAGCCAUCUGGGCCCAAGUUCUCUUCAUACUCCAGGAAUGCAGCCUCGGGCGUAAAAUCUGCGCCAAUUAAAGAUCACGAUCCAAUCCAGCACCAUCAUCCAUUUGACCCGACCCAGUAACAUCAGGCCCCUCAGCAGCUCAGGGAGGUAAAUCGCAGGAUGUGCCCUUGUUGGCUCCCAGGUUCCCACAACUCAUUUGGACAAUGGUGAUUGGUUGUUUUGUUGAUAGUAGGUUGUUAUUGUGACAAAAAAAGGUCGAUUAUAUAAAAGUUGCAGGUUA
rnacentral:lncRNA from 1 species